UGCACACUCAUAUCUGUAUAAC
rnacentral:miRNA from 1 species